GUUCCAUGAAAGCCGGAAAACGAGGUGGCACAGCAGUCCCCGUCUAUUUUACUUCCUUUUGAGGAGAAGCUGAAACAAGCAAUUCCACCUCAAAUUCUUCCAGGCAUUAAGGACACUGCACAUCCAUCCACCCAAAUUGCUGAGCAACUAACCGAUGAGUGAGAAGAAACACUGCAGAGAAACUGCCAUUUGCAAAUGUGUACAACGUUAAAUACAGCAUUCAGUGAUAUUAUAAAGGCAACAACAAAUAAGGCUGAACCACAGUGGAAAAAGGGCACCUGCCAAAGAGUCAACAACCCAAACUGCUGCUGAUGGUGAAGUUGCUGGUGACUACUACAAAACAUCGUUUAGAAAGAACCUUCUCAAGCAGUUCCAGCAACACCAUCACAAAUCGUCAUAGAAGAUAACAUGCAGGUAGAUCCAGCAGAGCCUGCAGACCACGCGGCACAAGGCUGCAUUUAGGAUAUGGCGGCAGCUGCCGCAGCCCACACCACCACCCAUCCCAACUGUGUCACUCACUGGACACCGUCAGGUCAAGUUCAUGAAGGUGCAAACCACACAACUUUGUAGCAUCACAACACCGUUUCAUAAAAUUGCCCACACUAAUAAAGUAGCACAAGGUACCAGAACCAGAAUGGCUGCAAAUCUAGAUCAUCUUAUGUCGGACAUUGCCAAUGCAAUUAGAUCUCUUCUCAGCCCGCAAAGAGAGCACCUGGCUCUAACCGAAUCAUUGGCUGCUCCUAGUACAUUUGCAACUUCGGUUCCAACACUUCCCUUAGGUGCAGUGUACGCGCAUAUGGUGAUCAGCUUAAAGGCCAGGGUAGGUGCAGACGUCAAACACCCCCUCCCCCCAAAAAAAGUAAAAAUAAAUGUUGAAUGUAUCCUUUUG